ensembl:misc_RNA Y_RNA Y RNA
GGCUGGUCCGAUGGCAGUGGGUUAUCAGAACUUACUAACAUUAGUGUCACUAAAGUUGGUAUACCACCCCCCCACACACACACAGAGCUAAAUUUGACUGGCUUUAA